rnacentral:rRNA from 1 species
UACGUAGGGGGCAAGCGUUGUCCGGAAUUAUUGGGCGUAAAGAGCUCGUAGGCGGCUUGUCACGUCGGGUGUGAAAGCCCGGGGCUUAACCCCGGGUCUGCAGUCGAUACGGGCAGGCUAGAGUGUGGUAGGGGAGAUCGGAAUUCCUGGUGUAGCGGUGAAAUGCGCAGAUAUCAGGAGGAACACCAACGGCGAAGGCAGCUCGCUGGGACGGUACUGACGCUGAGACGCGAAAGCGUGGGUAGCAAACAGG